UACGGGGGGGGCAAGCGUUGUUCGGAAUUACUGGGCGUAAGGGGCUCGUAGGCGGCCAACUAAGUCAGACGUGAAAUCCCUCGGCUUAACCGGGGAACGGCCUCUGAUACUGGCUGGCUGGAGUUCGGGAGAGGGAUGCGGAAUUCCAGGUGUAGCGGUGAAAUGCGUAGAUAUCUGGAGGAACACCGGUGGCGAAGGCGGCAUCCUGGACCGACACCUGACGCUGAGGAGCGAAAGCCAGGGGAGCAAACGGG
rnacentral:rRNA from 1 species